rnacentral:tRNA from 1 species
GGCCUUAUAUUCAUUGAUGAUAAUGGAAUGCAAUUCUAUAGGAGUAGUUUAAAGCACUACUAAGGCUU